rnacentral:lncRNA from 1 species
UAAAAUAGUGAGUGACCAAUGAUGGUCCAAAAGCUCACUCUACGAUCCACCAAGAACAUUUGGAGAUGAACAGAGAAAGAAGUAGAAGUGAGAGUUCUACAAUGUAUAAGUGAGAGUUCUACUACAAGAAGAGUGUUUUGAACUACCAAGAGAAAGAAGAGCAUCAAUGUCAUCUUGAUGUCUAUCAUGGGAAGACUCUAAGUACUAGAGAGAAGCGCUUACAG